AGGUGGUUGAACUUGCAAUACUCUUGAAGGACUACAAGACCAGGAAUCAAUAUACGAGGCAGGGUGUAUGCUUCAAUGGCAAGAAGACGAGUCUUCUUUACACUCAAAGUUCUUCAUGACUGGACGCGGAGAAGCACCUUUUUCUUCAAAUUCAGAAGACAGGACUCAAGUGAUGACAGUCGAUCCUGCAAGCACAUCUAGGCCAGGGAGCUGGUCGGCCGAGCGGACAGCACACUGGACUUGUGAUCCUGUGGUCCCGGG